rnacentral:lncRNA from 1 species
AAAAAAGAGAAUAAAUUUGGAAAAAAAAAAUUCAAAAACAAUCGAAAAAAAGGAAAAAAAAAGAAGUGACAAAAAAAUCGAGUUAAAAAAAAGAAGAAAGAAAAAAAAAGUGAAAAGUCUUGCGAGUUUUUAUCAUUAUCACUUAUUACUCCGAUCAUCAAGUUUCCCUUCCUACCAUUAUUUACCCAUCCCAACGCCACAUUUUAAACCAAUUUUCUUCUUUGUUCAACCUACCCUACACCCGACAUUAUCCCUUGUAACCCAUUUUGAAACCGACCCUUAAGCAGC